rnacentral:rRNA from 1 species
AGAGUUUGAUCCUGGCUCAGGACGAACGCUGGCGGCGUGCUUAACACAUGCAAGUCGAACGGAAAGGCCCUUCGGGGUACUCGAGUGGCGAACGGGUGAGUAACACGUGGGUGAUCUGCCCUGCACUUUGGGAUAAGCCUGGGAAACUGGGUCUAAUACCGAAUAUGACCAUGCACUUCCUGGUGUGUGGUGGAAAGCUUUUGCGGUGUGGGAUGGGCCCGCGGCCUAUCAGCUUGUUGGUGGGGUAAUGGCCUACCAAGGCGACGACGGGUAGCCGGCCUGAGAGGGUGACCGGCCACACUGGGACUGAGAUACGGCCCAGACUCCUACGGGAGGCAGCAGUGGGGAA